GUUAAAAAUGACUCUCGACAACGGAUAUCUUGGCUCUUGCAUCGAUGAAGGACGUAGCGAAAUGUGAUACUUGGUGUGAAUUGCAGAAUCUCGUGAACCAUCGAGUCUUUGAACGCAAGUUGCGCCCGAAGCCAUUAGGCUAAGGGCACGCCUGCCUGGGUGUCACCAA
rnacentral:rRNA from 1 species